UCCGCCUUCACGCAGUCGAGUUGCAGACUGCGAUCCGAACUGAGACCGGUUUUCAGGGAUCCGCUCCGCGUCGCCGCGUCGCAUCCCGUUGUACCGGCCAUUGUAGCAUGCGUGAAGCCCUGGACAUAAGGGGCAUGAUGAUCUGACGUCAUCCCCACCUUCCUCCG
rnacentral:rRNA from 1 species